AGCGGCGGAUGGGUGAGUAACACGUGGGGAACCUGCCCCUAAGUCUGGGAUACCAUUUGGAAACAGGUGCUAAUACCGGAUAAUAAAGCAGAUCGCAUGAUCAGCUUUUGAAAGGCGGCGUAAGCUGUCGCUAAGGGAUGGCCCCGCGGUGCAUUAGCUAGUUGGUAAGGUAACGGCUUACCAAGGCGACGAUGCAUAGCCGAGUUGAGAGACUGAUCGGCCACAUUGGGACUGAGACACGGCCCAAACUCCUACGGGAGGCAGCAGUAGGGAAUCUUCCACAAUGGACGCAAGUCUGAUGGGGCAACGCCGCGUGAGUGAAGAAGGUUUUCGGAUCGUAAAGCUCUGUUGUUGGUGAAGAAGGAUAGAGGUAGUAACUAGCCUUUAUUUGACGGUAAUCAACCAGAAAGUCACGGCUAACUACGUGCCAGCAGCCGCGGUAAUACGUAGGUGGCAAGCGUUGUCCGGAUUUAUUGGGCGUAAAGCGAGCGCAGGCGGAAAAAUAAGUCUAAUGUGAAAGCCCUCGGCUUAACCGAGGAACUGCAUCGGAAACUGUUUUUCUUGAGUGCGGAAGAGGAGAGUGGAACUCCAUGUGUAGCGGUGGAAUGCGUAGAUAUAUGGAAGAACACCAGUGGCGAAGGCGGCUCUCUGGUCUGCAACUGACGCUGAGGCUCGAAAGCAUGGGUAGCGAACAGGAUUAGAUACCCUGGUAGUCCAUGCCGUAAACGAUGAGUGCUAAGUGU
rnacentral:rRNA from 1 species